rnacentral:rRNA from 1 species
UGUUCCUACGGGACGCAGCAGUAGGGAAUCUUCCACAAUGGACGAAAGUCUGAUGGAGCAACGCCGCGUGAGUGAAGAAGGGUUUCGGCUCGUAAAGCUCUGUUGGUAGUGAAGAAAGAUAGAGGUAGUAACUGGCCUUUAUUUGACGGUAAUUACUUAGAAAGUCACGGCUAACUACGUGCCAGCAGCCGCGGUAAUACGUAGGUGGCAAGCGUUGUCCGGAUUUACUGGGUGUAAAGGGCGUGCAGCCGGGAAGACAAGUCAGAUGUGAAAUCCCGCGGCUCAACCGCGGAACUGCAUUUGAA